rnacentral:rRNA from 1 species
UACGGGGGGUGCGAGCGUUGUCCGGAAUCACUGGGCGUAAAGGGCGCGUAGGUGGUUUGAUAAGGGUGUGGUGAAAGUCCGGGGCUCAACCCCGGAUCUGCCGUGCCGACUGUCAAACUCGAGGACUGUAGAGGCAGACGGAAUUCCGGGUGUAGCGGUGGAAUGCGUAGAGAUCCGGAGGAAGACCGGUGGCGAAGGCGGGUCACUGGCUCGGUACUGACGCUGAGGUGCGAAAGCGUGGGGAGCAAACAGG